UGUUAAGAGACCAGUGUUGAUCAGUGGCUGUCCAGGCCUUUCAGAGCCACUGACACGCUGACAGCACAAUGAUGAUGUCACUGAUUCUACUGCUGGCCACCCUGGGGCUCCAUGUUCAGGAUUCAUCAGGAGAAAUCAUCCUGACUCAGUCUCCUGGAUCUCAGUCUGUUGUUCCAGGACAGACUGUCUCUAUCAGAUGUAAAGCCAGUUCAGAUAUGAGCACCUACCUUCACUGGUGCCUUCAGAAACCUGGAGAGUCUCCGAAACUUCUAAUUUAUUAUGCUACAACUCGUCAGUCUGGUGUUUCAGAUCGUUUUAGUGGAAGUGGAUCUGGGACUGACUUCACUCUGACCAUCAGUGGAGUUCAGACUGAAGAUGCAGGAGUUUAUUACUGUCAGCAGGGAGGUUACAGCUGGCCGUUCACACAGUGA